GGCGGCGUGGCUCAGUAGGUUAGAGCAUCGGAAUCAUAAUCCGCAGGUCCGGGGUUCAAGUCCCUGCGCCGCUACCA
rnacentral:tRNA from 1 species